UAAUAACGCGAAGGUCGCAGGUUCGAAACCUGCAUGGGCCAAACAAGUUUUUAACGUUUUUUGUUUUAAAAUUCCCGUUCUUUGUCCAUCACCCUCCUACCCAAUUUCUGAAUUCCAUUUGUUUCCUCUUCGAUCCGUGUUUUAAAAAACUCCGUUUCUGUGCCCCCAAUUGCAAUCCUCCACCAUCGUCAUCCAUGGCCUCUGCCGAUUCACUUACCUUAGAACCCACGGUGAGCCUCCGCCAGGUUCCAACCCCCUCAUCCUCAACGCUGGUUGAUCGCUGCCUUCUUGUCGGAUCCAUUGGUGCUGGUUUCAAAAUAUCUGAGAAUCAAACAAAAGAAAGUGGGGGUCGUGAGUAGAUUUUGGUGUCCAAUGAUAUUUUCCUUUUAAACCCAAAAGAUGAAGCUUUUGGAAAAGGAAAUUGUUAGGUUGUGGUACCAAGAAGCUCCAUAUUGUGAUUGGAUUUUGUAGAAAGAAGCAAAAUUGAUAUCUAUUUGGUGAAUCUACGUAUUCAUCAAUCUGAAAUGUUGGGCUUUGAAGGAAGAGGAGUUCUUUAGUUUUACGUUCCCCUCUUUCAUGCACAUGAAUUCUAGGAAUACGUAUGGGACUUAACAUUAGUAAUGAGAUUAAUGGACUUCUUUUACUUUUGUCCCUUUAUCUAUAUUUAAUUGUUGCUCAUAAUGUAAGCGUACGUGGCAUCGCGUAGGAUAAGUUUGUAUUUUGGUGAAUUCAAUAAACAAGUGUUUGCCUCUAAGAAUAUAAACUUUGACCCGUGUUUUUAA